GCAGGGGGGGGGCGGGCUAUACAUGCAAGUCGAACGAGUUCUGAUUAUUGAAAGGUGCUUGCAUCUUGAUUUAAUUUUGAACGAGUGGCGGACGGGUGAGUAACACGUGGGUAACCUGCCCUUAAGUGGGGGAUAACAUUUGGAAACAGAUGCUAAUACCGCAUAAAUCCAAGAACCGCAUGGUUCUUGGCUGAAAGAUGGCGUAAGCUAUCGCUUUUGGAUGGACCCGCGGCGUAUUAGCUAGUUGGUGAGGUAACGGCUCACCAAGGCAAUGAUACGUAGCCGAACUGAGAGGUUGAUCGGCCACAUUGGGACUGAGACACGGCCCAAACUCCUACGGGAGGCAGCAGUAGGGAAUCUUCCACAAUGGACGCAAGUCUGAUGGAGCAACGCCGCGUGAGUGAAGAAGGCUUUCGGGUCGUAAAACUCUGUUGUUGGAGAAGAAUGGUCGGCAGAGUAACUGUUGUCGGCGUGACGGUAUCCAACCAGAAAGCCACGGCUAACUACGUGCCAGCAGCCGCGGUAAUACGUAGGUGGCAAGCGUUAUCCGGAUUUAUUGGGCGUAAAGCGAGCGCAGGCGGUUUUUUAAGUCUGAUGUGAAAGCCCUCGGCUUAACCGAGGAAGUGCAUCGGAAACUGGGAAACUUGAGUGCAGAAGAGGACAGUGGAACUCCAUGUGUAGCGGUGAAAUGCGUAGAUAUAUGGAAGAACACCAGUGGCGAAGGCGGCUGUCUGGUCUGUAACUGACGCUGAGGCUCGAAAGCAUGGGUAGCGAACAGGAUUAGAUACCCUGGUAGUCCAUGCCGUAAACGAUGAAUGCUAGGUGUUGGAGGGUUUCCGCCCUUCAGUGCCGCAGCUAACGCAUUAAGCAUUCCGCCUGGGGAGUACGACCGCAAGGUUGAAACUCAAAGGAAUUGACGGGGGCCCGCACAAGCGGUGGAGCAUGUGGUUUAAUUCGAAGCAACGCGAAGAACCUUACCAGGUCUUGACAUCUUUUGAUCACCUGAGAGAUCAGGUUUCCCCUUCGGGGGCAAAAUGACAGGUGGUGCAUGGUUGUCGUCAGCUCGUGUCGUGAGAUGUUGGGUUAAGUCCCGCAACGAGCGCAACCCUUAUGACUAGUUGCCAGCAUUUAGUUGGGCACUCUAGUAAGACUGCCGGUGACAAACCGGAGGAAGGUGGGGAUGACGUCAAAUCAUCAUGCCCCUUAUGACCUGGGCUACACACGUGCUACAAUGGAUGGUACAACGAGUUGCGAGACCGCGAGGUCAAGCUAAUCUCUUAAAGCCAUUCUCAGUUCGGACUGUAGGCUGCAACUCGCCUACACGAAGUCGGAAUCGCUAGUAAUCGCGGAUCAGCACGCCGCGGUGAAUACGUUCCCGGGCCUUGUACACACCGCCCGUCACACCAUGAGAGUUUGUAACACCCGAAGCCGGUGGCGUAACCCUUUUAGGGAGCGAGCCGUCUAAGGGUGAACAAAU
rnacentral:rRNA from 1 species